AUGCCGCCACCAUUGCGUGCUCCUGUGCUGCUGCUAGCCGUGCUGCCGUGCUCCUAUUCUGUGCCGCUGCUGAAUUUGAAGUUUUGUGUGCAGCAACAGAAUGAGAGGGAUACAUGCUUUACGGCGUACCAUUACCAUCGCGGGGAACGCCGCCCUGCUGCCGCUGGCGACAGCACUGGUUUCACACACUCACGGCCAUCAGGUUCCCUAUCCGAAGAAACAAUUUGCAGAAGCUGUGCUCGGUACCCAAAUCCGAAUGAUAUCCAACAAUUCAAGUGCUGCACCAGGGACAACAAAACUGAAGAAUCCUCGGGCCAUUCCCGGUCUGGAUUUUUUGCGGCGAUGGCCUCGAGCGACGCUGUGGUCAAUUGA
rnacentral:rRNA from 1 species